rnacentral:rRNA from 1 species
GCGAGCGCUGGCGGCAGGCCUAACACAUGCAAGUCGAACGAACUCUUCGGAGUUAGUGGCGGACGGGUGAGUAACACGUGGGAACGUGCCUUUUGGUUCGGAAUAACUCAGGGAAACUUGUGCUAAUACCGAAUGUGCCCUUCGGGGGAAAGAUUAUCGCCAUUAGAGCGGCCCGCGUCUGAUUAGCUAGUUGGUGGGGUAACGGCUCACCAAGGCGACGAUCAGUAGCUGGUCUGAGAGGAUGACCAGCCACACUGGGACUGAGACACGGCCCAGACUCCUACGGGAGGCAGCAGUGGGGAAUCUUGCGCAAUGGGCGAAAGCCUGACGCAGCCAUGCCGCGUGAAUGAUGAAGGUCUUAGGAUUGUAAAAUUCUUUCACCGGGGACGAUAAUGACGGUACCCGGAGAGGAAGCCCCGGCUAACUUCGUG